GGUAUAGUUCAGUUGGUUAGAGCGUCAGAUUGUGGUUCUGAAUGUCGUGGGUUCGAGUCCCACUACC
rnacentral:tRNA from 1 species